rnacentral:rRNA from 1 species
AAAUAGAACUUUGCAGAGAGAGUUAAGAGGGCGUGAAACCGUUAAUUGGCAAACGAAUCGGAGCCACGAAGUCGUUUCGUUAUUGAGUCUUGGGUCGAGUUCAGCUCAAGUUGCUUCAUUGCAGUUUGGGUGUAUUCUCGUACCUGGCCAAAAUUGUAAGCGUACACUGCAACCAGUUAGACGAUUGGUGAUGGGCACAGUUGUUCAGUGUCCGGGUUAGUAGUAGCGCCGUUGGCUUUCGGGCCUCCUGGUGUUGCUGGACUCGCUGGCAAGUGAACUAUGAACCAAAUACUGACUGGCAAAAUGAAAAUCGCCCCUCAGCGGGCGUUGCAUAGAAGGCAACCUGUUGCAUUUGGGUCUACACUCAGCGACCGUUUGGUCUUUAAGCUUGGCAUUUUUGAAUUUAGACUUGCUUGCUACCAUUGGGGCAACUCGUGGUGCUUGUAUAGCUCUAUCUAAUCGGGUGCCGACUUGGCCAGGCGUUGUUUGUUGGUGCUACGAUUGGGCCUNAAUGCGAGCGGCUCGCAAU